rnacentral:rRNA from 1 species
AGGACGAACGCUGGCGGCGUGCUUAACACAUGCAAGUCGAGCGGAAAGGCCCUUCGGGGUACUCGAGCGGCGAACGGGUGAGUAACACGUGAGCAAUCUGCCCUUAGCUUCGGGAUAGCCCCGGGAAACCGGGAUUAAUACCGAAUACGACCUCGGCCGACAUCGGCUUUGGUGGAAAGUUUUUCGGCUAGGGAUGAACUCGCGGCCUAUCAGCUUGUUGGUGGGGUAAUGGCCUACCAAGGCGACGACGGGUAGCCGGCCUGAGAGGGCGACCGGCCACACUGGGACUGAGACACGGCCCAGACUCCUACGGGAGGCAGCAGUGGGGAAUAUUGCGCAAUGGGCGAAAGCCUGACGCAGCGACGCCGCGUUGGGGAUGAAGGCCUUCGGGUUGUAAACCCCUUUCAGCAGGGACGAAGCGAGAGUGACGGUACCUGCAGAAGAAGCGCCGGCUAACUACGUGCCAGCAGCCGC